AUUGAACGCUGGCGGCAGGCCUAACACAUGCAAGUCGAACGAGUGGCGGACGGGUGAGUAAUGUCUGGGCAACUGCCUGAUGGAGGGGGCUAACUACUGGAAACGGUAGCUAAUACCGCAUACCAUCGGAUGUGCCCAGAUGGGAUUAGCUAGUAGGUGGGGUAACGGCUCACCAAGGCGACGAUGCCUAGCUGGUCUGAGAGGCUGACCAGCCACACUGGAACUGAGACACGGUCCAGACUCCUACGGGAGGCAGCAGUGGGGAAUAUUCGACAAUGGGCGCAAGCCUGAUGGAGCAAUGCCGCGUGUGUGAAGAAGGCUUUCGGGUCGUAAAGUUCUUUCGGCGGGGAGGCGUUACCCGAAGAAAAAGCACCGGCUAACUCCGUGCCAGCAGCCGCGGUAAUAC
rnacentral:rRNA from 1 species